rnacentral:rRNA from 1 species
AUGAACGCUGGCGGCGUGCCUAAUACAUGCAAGUCGAGCGAACGGACGAGAAGCUUGCUUCUCUGAUGUUAGCGGCGGACGGGAGAGUAACACGUGGAUAACCUACCUAUAAGACUGGGAUAACUUCGGGAAACCGGAGCUAAUACCGGAUGAUAUUUUGAACCGCAUGGUUCAAAAGUGAAAGACGGUCUUGCUGUCACUUAUAGAUGGAUCCGCGCUGCAUUAGCUAGUUGGUAAGGUAACGGCUUACCAAGGCAACGAUGCAUAGCCGACCUGAGAGGGUGAUCAGCCACACUAGAACUGAGACACGGUCCAGACUCCUACGGGAGGCAGCAGUAGGGAAUCUUCCGCAAUGGGCGAAAGCCUGACGGAGCAACGCCGCGUGAGUGAUGAAGGUCUUCGGAUCGUAAAACUCUGUUAUUAGGGAAGAACAUAUAUGUAAGUAACUGUACACAUCUUGACGGUACCUAAUCAGAGAGCCACGGCUAACUACGUG